UGCAACGCAGUUUCGACCCGCAAAUAGAUUUCGCAGACGCCCAGCUGGGGUUUGUUGGAAAUUCCAGGACAAGCAAUGCACGUUGGGAACCGCGUGUUCCUUUCGGCACGCUUGUCGCAUCUGCGGGGGAUUUCACCCUGCCGCAGACUGCGUUAAAAAAGGGGAGAGACAGGACAGGACUGGGCCAAGAGGCCCUGCUGUCGCUAAGAGCGGACACCCCGCUGAAGGUGGCCGCAAUUAGUAAGUGGCUCACGCUAUACCCCGAUAGGGUAACGGCGGCCUUGUUGGAGUCAGGGCUCCGGGAAGGUUUUGUUAUCCCCGUACAAGGUCCGGUUUCGGGUGCGGCUUCUCGCAGGAACCUGAAAUCUGCCUCCCUUUUCCCGGAGGUAUUAAAGGAGAAAUUGGGUAAGGAAGUUUCACUGGGUAGAAUGGCUGGCCCGUUUAGGGAAAGACCUAUGCCGGGAUUGGUUAUCUCGCCUCUAGGGGUCGUGCCCAAGAAAGACCCAGGAAAGUUUAGGAUGAUACAACAUCUCUCAUACCCAAAGGGAAAGUCAGUCAAUGACGCCAUUCCUCAGGACUUAAGUACCGUAUAUUACCAGUCAUUUGAUGAUGCCUUGCAAGUAGUACGCAGAUCGGGUCAUGGGGCUUUACUGGCCAAGCUUGACAUCGAGUCUGCUUUCAGACUCUUGCCGAUUCACCCCGCAUCAUUUUACUUAAUGGGUUGUUUCUUCAACGGACACUAUUAUGUUGACCGUUGUUUGCCCAUGGGGUGUUCCAUUUCCUGCGCCUAUUUUGAGGCGUUUAGUUCCUUCUUGCAUUGGGCCGUGGCGGAAGUGACAGGAGAGGAUAGGAUUGCUCACUACUUGGACGACUUUCUCCUGGUCGGCAGACAGGGGUCUAGGGAAUGUGAGCUGCUCCUUUACGCCAUGCGGCUGUUGAUGGAGAAAUUUGGAGUCCCCUUAGCAGAAGACAAAUCGGAGGGCCCUUGCACUUGUCUAACUUUCCUGGGUAUCGAAAUUGAUUCGGUAGCCCAGGAAUGUAGGCUUCCGGUUGAUAAGGUACAGAAGAUGUUGGCAGCAGUCAGGAGCCUCGCAGCGGCGCAGUUUUGCACGCUGAAAGAGCUCCAAUCGGUUUUGGGUCUGCUCAACUUUGCAGGGAGGGUCAUCCCGAUGGGGAGGAUUUUCCUGAAAAGAAUGGAGCGCUUGUUGCCGGGAGUUACUUCCCCUAAGGCCAAACUAAUGGUUAAUAGUGACAUGAGGGAAGACCUCCGUGUCUGGGAUCUGUUCCUCAGGGAUUUCAAUGGGAUCUGUAUUUGGAGAACCCCCCAGACUCCGGCGCGAGAACUGCACCUCUUUACUGAUGCUGCUGGGGGUUUUGGAUACGGCGCCUAUCUCAAUGGCGAGUGGAGCGCCGAACCUUGGCCGGCAGAGUGGGCGGCCAGGGGCCUGACCAGGAACCUGUGCCUUCUAGAGCUUUUCCCCAUUCUGGUGGCGUUGGAGAUCUGGGGGGACAAGCUCGAGAACCGCUCCGUCAUUUUUUGGACGGACAAUUUGAGCGUGGUUUACGCCAUUAACGGUCUCUCUUCGUCCUCACCACCAGUAAUUCGAUAUCUGAGAAUUCUGGUUUUGAGAUGCCUCAAGCGGAACAUUGAGUUUCGGGCUAGGCAUGUCCCAGGAGUUAAAAACGUUAUUGCUGAUGCACUAUCUCGCUUUCAAUGGGAAAAUUUUAGGAAAUGUGCUCCUGAGGCUGCCACUCAUGGCUUUCCCUGUCCCCCUUUUCUUUGGCAGGUGGCUUUGGAUGGCAGUCCCUGAUUCCGGUGCUUAAGGCGUCCCUGGCACCUUCCACUUGGAAGUCCUAUAUAAGGUACUGGGAAGAAUGGGUAUUCUUCUGCGAUGUCCAAGGAUUUCCUUCUUGUGCUGGGCCUAGAAGUGGGCCACUUCGUGCCUGGAUCGUUGGGCACUCGUUCGUACACUGGGCGGCUAUCCGAGCGGCAUCGCAACCUGGAGGGCAGCAGCUUGGGUUCUCAUUCUCCAGGGUGGUAGUUAGGUGGUUAGGGAGGAGAGGCCUUUGCUGGGCAGAUCUGCCUGGGUUACUGCAAUCCGCCAUGAGGCGGUGGGAGAAACCCCAUGUGCUGAUCAUCCACUUAGGUGGGAAUGAUCUCGGCUCAAUUCCCGGCCGGGACUUGAGCGCAGUGAUCCAAUCAGAUCUGCGCACCUUUAAAGCUUGGUUGCCUGGUGUGAGAAUGGGCUGGUCAAACAUUAUACCGAGGUUGACGUGGAGACACAUGGCCAAUCAUAGGGCAGCGUUCCAAGUUCGCAAGAAGCUCAAUAGAGAUGUUAGGAAGCUUAUGUGCGAGCUAGGUGGUUUUGUUGUGGAACACAAGUUCAUUACGGCCGCUGACCGUAGCCUGUACCGAGGCGACGGGGUCCAUCUUACGGACCAUGGCAUGGACCUGUUUAUUGAAGAUAUACGUCAGUCCCUACUCCUAUUUGUGUGAGUUGGGUGGCGGCGAGAGUGGCCCUUGAUAUUCGGGCGAUCUCGUGGCGGGUGGACAGUGUCCGGGGGCAGGAUGUGAUCGAGGUAGAGUGACGGCACUUCCGGCCAGGGAUGAAGUCCCCAGACGCGCGUCUGGGGUGUUCCCUGCCCGUGUGAUUACGAUGCCGAGAAUUCCCUGUUUUAUAGUAUUGAGCUACGCUCUGCUUCUUCUCCUGCGCCCUGGUACUGCCCAUCUUGUUAGCAUGGGUUACUACGUUUUAGCUAGUACCUGAUUGCCGCCCCCCUGGUCCAUGUUUAUUCAGACGGUCGUUAGUUCUUGUGUUGCCACAAUAAACGUGACCUGCGGGUUUUCUCUAACCAUAAAAAGUUGUUGUGUCGUUAUUUUGUGUGUUAUUUAUUUCUACGUUUAGAAACUAAGUUGAGUUUAUGUUAAACCAAGAAUGUAUAUAGUUAUAAGUUAUUCUUUCCACAGAGGAGGAUAUGGCAUUUAAUCCCUUAAGGAAAUGUAAGGCAAAUUGCCUGGAAUGCACAUAAGGGUUAAGGCCAAGACGGAGGAGGGGAGUGUUGUGUUGUGUGUGUGAAACAAUGUUGCAGAAAGAGAGGAGGGGUUCCAGCUUACCUUUUUAAGCCCAGUACAGGAAGCACAUGUCCUCUUUCUGCUGUUUUUCUCAAAGUUUUCCCCACCCUUCCCUCCCUUUGUUUAUUAUUUUGCAAUCAGUAGGGGGAUCCGUCCUUAUGGUGGUCCCCAGGGACUAGGGCUAUCCGAAGGCUUGAUGAGGGCUAGCCAGCCUAUUUCUGUAAGUCCAAGGACGUUAAGUUUCAGCUCCCCAGGUAUUUCAAUCUGGUUUACGCACCUUUUUUAAUCCUGGCCCUUACUGGUACGGAGUGGUGGUUUGCACCCUGGGCUGGCGGGUGGACAGUGUCCGGGGGCAGGAUGUGAUCGAGGUAGAGUGACGGCACUUCCGGCCAGGGAUGAAGUCCCCAGACGCGCGUCU